GACACAGAGUAGAUGGUUGGAGAAAAUUAUUAGAUUUGAAGACUUGCCAAUUAGUCUUAAUGUCAUUUGGAUAGCAAGAAAGAAAAAGCACCGAUGGAACAGAUUCAACUGUGCUUAUCAAAUAGUACAUAAAAUGCCCCUCAGAAAACAAAGUACUCCACAUGUUUAUGAAACUAUGACUGAGAUAAAGCAACAUACCUCAGACAUUAUAAGCCAAGG
rnacentral:misc_RNA from 1 species